rnacentral:rRNA from 1 species
ACAGAAGGGAGCUUGCUCCCGGAUGUUAGCGGCGGACGGGUGAGUAACACGUGGGUAACCUGCCUGUAAGACUGGGAUAACUCCGGGAAACCGGAGCUAAUACCGGAUAGUUCCUUGAACCGCAUGGUUCAAGGAUGAAAGACGGUUUCGGCUGUCACUUACAGAUGGACCCGCGGCGCAUUAGCUAGUUGGUGGGGUAAUGGCUCACCAAGGCGACGAUGCGUAGCCGACCUGAGAGGGUGAUCGGCCACACUGGGACUGAGACACGGCCCAGACUCCUACGGGAGGCAGCAGUAGGGAAUCUUCCGCAAUGGACGAAAGUCUGACGGAGCAACGCCGCGUGAGUGAUGAAGGUUUUCGGAUCGUAAAGCUCUGUUGUUAGGGAAGAACAAGUGCGAGAGUAACUGCUCGCACCUUGACGGUACCUAACCAGAAAGCCACGGCUAACUACGUGCCAGCAGCCGCGGUAAUACGUAGGUGGCAAGCGUUGUCCGGAAUUAUUGGGCGUAAAGGGCUCGCAGGCGGUUUCUUAAGUCUGAUGUGAAAGCCCCCGGCUCAACCGGGGAGGGUCAUUGGAAACUGGGAAACUUGAGUGCAGAAGAGGAGAGUGGAAUUCCACGUGUAGCGGUGAAAUGCGUAGAGAUGUGGAGGAACACCAGUGGCGAAGGCGACUCUCUGGUCUGUAACUGACGCUGAGGAGCGAAAGCGUGGGGAGCGAACAGGAUUAGAUACCCUGGUAGUCCACGCCGUAAACGAUGAGUGCUAAGUGUUAGGGGGUUUCCGCCCCUUAGUGCUGCAGCUAACGCAUUAAGCACUCCGCCUGGGGAGUACGGUCGCAAGACUGAAACUCAAAGGAAUUGACGGGGGCCCGCACAAGCGGUGGAGCAUGUGGUUUAAUUCGAAGCAACGCGAAGAACCUUACCAGGUCUUGACAUCCUCUGACAACCCUAGAGAUAGGGCUUUCCCUUCGGGGACAGAGUGACAGGUGGUGCAUGGUUGUCGUCAGCUCGUGUCGUGAGAUGUUGGGUUAAGUCCCGCAACGAGCGCAACCCUUGAUCUUAGUUGCCAGCAUUUAGUUGGGCACUCUAAGGUGACUGCCGGUGACAAACCGGAGGAAGGUGGGGAUGACGUCAAAUCAUCAUGCCCCUUAUGACCUGGGCUACACACGUGCUACAAUGGACAGAACAAAGGGCUGCGAGACCGCAAGGUUUAGCCAAUCCCAUAAAUCUGUUCUCAGUUCGGAUCGCAGUCUGCAACUCGACUGCGUGAAGCUGGAAUCGCUAGUAAUCGCGGAUCAGC